rnacentral:rRNA from 1 species
GGGGGCACCCUGAUCCAGCCAUGCCGCGUGUGUGAAGAAGGCUUUCGGGUUGUAAAGCACUUUCAGCGAGGAGGAAGGCUCUAAAGUUAAUACCUUUAGGGAUUGACGUUACUCGCAGAAGAAGCACCGGCUAACUCCGUGCCAGCAGCCGCGGUAAUAC